UACAGAGGUCUCAAGCGUUGUUCGGAUUCAUUGGGCGUAAAGGGUGCGUAGGCGGCGCGGUAAGUCGGGUGUGAAAUCUCGGAGCUUAACUCCGAAACUGCAUUCGAUACUGCCGUGCUUGAGGACUGGAGAGGAGACUGGAAUUUACGGUGUAGUGGUGAAAUGCGUAGAUAUCGUAAGGAAGACCAGUGGCGAAGGCGGGUCUCUGGACAGUUCCUGACGCUGAGGCGCGAAGGCCAGGGGAGCAAACGGG
rnacentral:rRNA from 1 species